rnacentral:rRNA from 1 species
GCACCGGCUAACUCCGUGCCAGCAGCCGCGGUAAUACGGAGGGUGCGAGCGUUAAUCGGAAUUACUGGGCGUAAAGCGCAUGCAGGUGGUUGUUAAGUCAGAUGUGAAAGACCCGGGGCGUCAACCUACCGGUAAGUUAGCAUUUAGUAAACGUAGGCAGACUAGAGUACUGUAGAGGGGGGUAGGAAUUUCAGGUGUAGCGGUGAAAUGCGUAGAGAUCUGAAGGAAUACCGGUGGUGAAGGCGGCCCCCUGGACAGAUACUGACACUCAGAUGCGAAAGCGUGGGGAGCAAACAGGAUUAGAUACCCUGGUAG